GAUUGACAUUAUCACCAUUCUUAUUUUGGAUGAGUUUUUUUCCAAUAUUAUGUCGAAAUGUCUGUAGAGAUGUAAACUAUGGCAGGAAAUUACUAGACACAAAAUUAAAAUUCUUUGUCCAUUUUAAACAACUGAAACAGGAUGUAAGAAAGUGUUUUUCUCUCCCCCCAUUCAGGUACAAAGAACUAGUUCGCUAUUUGAAAGCAGUAAAGUGUAAUGAAGGCGUUGGGUUAAGGGAUCUUAGAGACAAGAUUCCUUUCUACUUGUGCAAAAGUGGUGAUUUCACCAGUGCUGCGUACUCAUUACUACUUCCCAUCAACAACCUGGCCUGCUGCACAGCCUGUCGACUCGCACCCUUGGAGUUUGAGUGCUACCUGAAGAUGUUCUGGACAGGAAGUGUCCCCUCAGGGAAGGAUUUCCAGGACUCUAAUGAGUGGAUUUUGAACGUGGGUUCUCCUGUAAAGUGUUGUACACUAAUUAAGCAGGCCCUCCGAGUACUCUACAACAAUCAGUCCUUGUACAGAAAUGUAAGAACUCCAUUCAUAUUUAUUCAUUCUUCAUUCACAUUAUAUUC
rnacentral:lncRNA from 1 species